rnacentral:rRNA from 1 species
GACGAACGCUGGCGGCGUGCUUAACACAUGCAAGUCGAACGGAAAGGCCCUGCUUUUGUGGGGUGCUCGAGUGGCGAACGGGUGAGUAACACGUGAGUAACCUGCCCGUGACUUUGGGAUAACUUCAGGAAACUGGGGCUAAUAACGGAUAGGAGCUCCUGAUGCAUGGUGGGGGUGGGAAAAUUUCGGCGGUUGGGGAUGGACUCGCGGCUUAUCAGCUUGUUGGUGGGGUAGUGGCUUACCAAGGCUUUGACGGGUAGCCGGCCUGAGAGGGUGACCGGCCACAUUGGGACUGAGAUACGGGCCAGACUCCUACGGGAGGCAGCAGUGGGAAAUAUUGCACAAUGGGCGGAAGCCUGAUGCAGCAACGCCGCGUGCGGGAUGACGGCCUUCGGGUUGUAAACCGCUUUCGCCUGUGACGAAGCGUGAGUGACGGUAAUGGGUAAAGAAGCACCGGCUAACUACGUG